CUAACUUUUUGCUUUGGUCGCACUGGUGCGCCUAACUUUUUUAUACAGCUGUGUUAAUAACAAUUACAACUGUAGACAAAUGUCAGCAGUUUGGACCGGCGGCGCUGUGUCUGUCUGCAUGUCGCAGGUGGGCCGUGUGUGAGUGAUUGGGGGCGGGGCUGCGCGGAGAGGAGAGAUCCAAACACAAGCACGGCUUUACAGAAGAAAUGGGUCACGUAACGCAACAUUAAACCAUAUCGAUAUAAACGACAUCGCUUCGUUAGUGGAGGUGCACCGGUGCGACCUAGGAAAAAUCUUAGUCGCACCCUUACAAAUUUUGGUCGCAUAUGCGACCAAAUUGGUCGCACUCUAGAGCCCUGCUUGUAACGGUGUAUAUUGAUGUU